rnacentral:rRNA from 1 species
CCUACGGGUGGCAGCAGUGAGGAAUAUUGGUCAAUGGACGCAAGUCUGAACCAGCCAUGCCGCGUGCAGGAAGACGGCUCUAUGAGUUGUAAACUGCUUUUGUACGAGGGUAAACGCAGAUACGCGUAUCUGUCUGAAAGUAUCGUACGAAUAAGGCACGGCUAACUCCGUGCCAGCAGCCGCCGUAAUACGGAGGGUUCAAGCGUUAUCCGGAUUUAUUGGGUUUAAAGGGUGCGUAGGCGGUCGGAUAAGUUAGAGGUGAAAUCCCGAGGCUCAACUUCGGAAUCGCCACUGAUACUGUCCGGCUAGAGAGUAGUUGCGGUAGGCGGAAUGCAUGGUGUAGCGGUGAAAUGCUUAGAGAUCAGGCAGAACACCGGUUGCGAAGGCAGCUUACCAGGCUACUACUGACGUUGAGGCACGAAAGCGUGGGGAGCAAACAGGAUUAGAUACCCGAGUAGUC